CCUACGGGAGGCUGCAGUGGGGAAUAUUGGACAAUGGGCGAAAGCCUGAUCCAGCCAUGCCGCGUGUGUGAAGAAGGCCUUCGGGUUGUAAAGCACUUUCAGUGGGGAAGAAAGCCUUGGGGCUAAUACCCUCGAGGAAGGACAUCACCCACAGAAGAAGCACCGGCUAACUCCGUGCCAGCAGCCGCGGUAAUACGGAGGGUGCGAGCGGUAAUCGGAAUUACUGGGCGUAAAGCGCGCGUAGGCGGUCUGAUAAGCCGGUUGUGAAAGCCCCGGGCUCAACCUGGGAACGGCAUCCGGAACUGUCAGGCUAGAGUGCAGGAGAGGAAGGUAGAAUUCCCGGUGGAGCGGUGAAAUGCGUAGAGAUCGGGAGGAAUACCAGUGGCGAAGGCGGCCUUCUGGACUGACACUGACGCUGAGGUGCGAAAGCGUGGGUAGCAAACAGGAUUAGAUACCCCAGUAGUC
rnacentral:rRNA from 1 species